GCGAACGCUGCCGAGCAUGCUUAACACAUGCAAGUCGAGCAAUACCUUCGGGUCUAGUGGCGCACGUGGUGCGUAACGCGUGGGAAUCUGCCCUAUGGUACGGAAUAUCACAGGGACACUUGAGCUAAUCCCGUAUAAUGACUUCGGUCCAAAAAUUUAUCGCUUAAGGAUGAGCCCGCGUCGGAUUAGCUAGUUGGUGAGGUAAAAGCUCACCAAGGCGACGAUCCGUAGCUGGUCUGAGAGGAUGAUCAGCCACACUGGGACUGAGACACGGCCCAGACUCCUACGGGAGGCAGCAGUGGGGAAUAUUGCACAAUGGGCGAAANCCUGAUCCAGCAAGGCCGCGUGAGUGAUGAAGUCCUUAGGGUUGUAAAGCUCUUUCACCCGGGAUGAUAAUGACAGUACCGGRAGAAUAAGCCCCGGCUA
rnacentral:rRNA from 1 species